AUUGAACGCUGGCGGCAGGCCUAACACAUGCAAGUCGAGCGGAUGAAGGGAGCUUGCUCCUGGAUUCAGCGGCGGACGGGUGAGUAAUGCCUAGGAAUCUGCCUGGUAGUGGGGGAUAACGUCCGGAAACGGGCGCUAAUACCGCAUACGUCCUGAGGGAGAAAGUGGGGGAUCUUCGGACCUCACGCUAUCAGAUGAGCCUAGGUCGGAUUAGCUAGUUGGUGGGGUAAAGGCCUACCAAGGCGACGAUCCGUAACUGGUCUGAGAGGAUGAUCAGUCACACUGGAACUGAGACACGGUCCAGACUCCUACGGGAGGCAGCAGUGGGGAAUAUUGGACAAUGGGCGAAAGCCUGAUCCAGCCAUGCCGCGUGUGUGAAGAAGGUCUUCGGAUUGUAAAGCACUUUAAGUUGGGAGGAAGGGAAGUAAGUGAAUACCUUGCUGUUUUGACGUUACCAACAGAAUAAGCACCGGCUAACUUCGUG
rnacentral:rRNA from 1 species